AUUGAACGCUGGCGGCAGGCCUAACACAUGCAAGUCGAACGAGUGGCGGACGGGUGAGUAAUGUCUGGGAAACUGCCCGAUGGAGGGGGAUAACUACUGGAAACGGUAGCUAAUACCGCAUACAAUCGGAUGAGCCCAGAUGGGAUUAGCUAGUAGGUGGGGUAAUGGCUCACCAAGGCGACGAUCCCUAGCUGUUCUGAGAGGAUGACCGGCAACACUGUAACUGAGACACGGUCCAGACUCCUACGGGAGGCAGCGUUGGGGAAUAUUGCACAAUGGGCGCAAGCCUGAUGCAGCCAUGCCGCGUGUAUGAAGAAGGCCUUCGGGUUGUAAAGUACUUUCAGCGAGGAGGCGUUACUCACAGAAGAAGAACCGGCUAACGCCGUGCCAGCAGCCGCGGUAAUAC
rnacentral:rRNA from 1 species